rnacentral:rRNA from 1 species
ACGAACGCUGGCGGCGUGCCUAAUACAUGCCAGUAGAACGCUGAAGGAGGAGCUUGCUUCUCUGGAUGAGUUGCGAACGGGUGAGUAACGCGUAGGUAACCUGCCUGGUAGCGGGGGAUAACUAUUGGAAACGAUAGCUAAUACCGCAUAAGAGUAGAUGUUGCAUGACAUUUGCUUAAAAGGUGCAAUUGCAUCACUACCAGAUGGACCUGCGUUGUAUUAGCUAGUUGGUGGGGUAACGGCUCACCAAGGCGACGAUACAUAGCCGACCUGAGAGGGUGAUCGGCCACACUGGGACUGAGACACGGCCCAGACUCCUACGGGAGGCAGCAGUAGGGAAUCUUCGGCAAUGGACGGAAGUCUGACCGAGCAACGCCGCGUGAGUGAAGAAGGUUUUCGGAUCGUAAAGCUCUGUUGUAAGAGAAGAACGAGUGUGAGAGUGGAAAGUGCACACUGUGACGGUAUCUUACCAGAAAGGGACGGCUAACUACGU